rnacentral:rRNA from 1 species
UUUCCGGUUGAUCCUGCCGGACCUGACUGCUAUCGGAUUGAUACUAAGCCAUGCGAGUCUUUGCAGUAAUGCAAGGCAUACGGCUCAGUAACACGUAGUCAACUUACCCUAUGGACGAGGAUAAUCUCGGGAAACUAAGCAUAAUACUCGAUAGAUCAUAAUGCCUGGAAUGGUUUAUGGUUGAAAUGAUUCGUCGCCAUAGGAUGGGACUGCGGCCUAUCAGCUUGUUGGUGAGGUAAUGGCCCACCAAGGCGAUUACAGGUACGGGCUCUGAGAGGAGAAGCCCGGAGAUGGGUACUGAGACAAGGACCCAGGCCCUAUGGGGCGCAGCAGGCGAGAAAACUUUGCAAUGUGCGAAAGCACGACAAGGUUAAUCCGAGUGAUUUCUGCUAAAGAAAUCUUUUGCAAGUCAUAAAACCACUAGUGAAUAAGGGGUGGGCAAGUUCUGGUGUCAGCCGCCGCGGUAAAACCAGCACCUCAAGUGGUCAGGAGGAUUAUUGGGCCUAAAGCAUCCGUAGCCGGCUCUGUAAGUUUUCGGUUAAAUCCAUGUGCUCAACGCAUGGGCUGCCGAAAAUACUGCAUAGCUAGGGAGUGGGAGAGGUAGACGGUACUCGGUAGGAAGGGGUAAAAUCCUUUGAUCUAUCGAUGACCACCUGUGGCGAAGGCGGUCUACCAGAACACGUUCGACGGUGAGGGAUGAAAGCUGGGGGAGCAAACCGGAUUAGAUACCCGGGUAGUCCCAGCUGUAAACGAUGCAGACUCGAUGAUGCAUUGGCAUAUAGCCAGUGCAGUGUCGCAGGGAAGCCGUUAAGUCUGCCGCCUGGGAAGUACGUACGCAAGUAUGAAACUUAAAGGAAUUGGCGGGGGAGCACCACAAGGGGUGAAGCCUGCGGUUCAAUUGGAGUCAACGCCGGG